UACAGAGGUCUCAAGCGUUGUUCGGAUUCAUUGGGCGUAAAGGGUGCGUAGGUGGCGAGGUUAGUCAGGUGUGAAAUCUCGGGGCUCAACCCCGAAACUGCACUUGAUACUGCCUUGCUAGAGUACUGGAGAGGAGAUUGGAAUUUACGGUGUAGCAGUGAAAUGCGUAGAUAUUGUGAGGAACACUAGUGGCGAAGGCGAAUCUCUGGACAGUUCCUGACGCUGAGGCACGAAGGCCAGGGGAGCAAACGGG
rnacentral:rRNA from 1 species